AAUGAUUUCAUUUAUAAGGAAUCAUAUCCAUGGACACUGGAAAUUUCCAGAAUGUAAAGUAGACAAAUCUAUAGAGACAGAAAGCCAAUCAGUACUUUCCCAGGGCCGGGGGUGGGGACUGAGGGGGGUGACUGCCGCUCUGCAGGCCCGGGGGUUCCUCUUGGGGUGAUGGAAGUGCUCUAGAAUUUGUUGCACAGGAUCGUGAAUGUACCAUCUGUCACUGAACCGGGUGGUUUAAAAUAAUUAAAAUGGUUGGAGUUCCUGUUGUGGCUCAGCAGGUUAAGAACCCGACAUGGUGUCCAUGAGGAUGGGGGGUUCGAUCCCUGGCCUCGUUUAGUGGGUGAUGGAUCUGGUAUGGUCACAAGCUGCAGUGUAGGUCAAAGAUGCCACUUGGACCUGGCGUUGCUGUGGCUGGGGUGUAGACCUGCAGCUGCAGCUCCGGUUUGACCCCUGGCCUGGGAACUUCCAGAUGGGAGUUCCCUGGGGGCCUAUCAGUUAGGAAUCCAGUGUUGUCCCUGCUGUGGCACAGGUUUGAGCCCUGGUCCGGGAAUGUCUGCAUGCUGUGGGCGUGGCCAAAUAAUAAAAUAAUUGAAAUGGUGACUUUUAUGUAGAAUAAAUUUCCUAUUUGUCUCAGCGUAUUUUCCAUUCCACUUCUACACAGGGAGUCACUCAAUCUGUUUCUUCUUAAGAUCCAAGAUAUAAUAAUCUGUGUGAAUGUAAUUGUGUUUAAAUAUAUUUUAUUCUGUAAAAAAAAUAAAUAUUAAAUUAAAAAAAUAAAAUAAAAUGGUGACUUUUAUGUUAUGUGUUUUUCAUUACAUAAAAAGCUUUGUUUAAAGGAAAGGCAUGGCUGCCGGAGGAGGGUCGGUGGGGAAGCAGUAGGGCGCUCCCCAUGGCCAGGGGGUCUGGCGAAGGCAGCUGGGGCCUCCCUCUGCCCCUGCAGUGAGGGCCAUGAUUCUCCCACCACCCUGGACCCCGGCCCCCUCAUCUCCUUUACCUUCCUUCCAACUCACGCUGCCUCAAGGAACCUCCCCAGAGGGCUCCACAGGGUCACAGAACUGAUGUCCAUCAAGAAAACAGAUCCAUCCUAGCAACCGAGUUACGACAGCUGACCUUUGAGUAGAGCAAAGAAUUGCC
rnacentral:lncRNA from 1 species